rnacentral:rRNA from 1 species
AAUCAACCUGCCCUUCAGAGGGGGACAACAGUUGGAAACGACUGCUAAUACCGCAUACGAUCCAAUCCCGGCAUCGGGACUGGAUGAAAGGUGGCCUCUAUUUAUAAGCUAUCACUGAAGGAGGGGAUUGCGUCUGAUUAGCUAGUUGGAGGGGUAACGGCCCACCAAGGCGAUGAUCAGUAGCCGGUCUGAGAGGAUGAACGGCCACAUUGGGACUGAGACACGGCCCAGACUCCUACGGGAGGCAGCAUG